CGAAGGAUGCAAGCGUUAUCCGGAUUCAUUGGGUUUAAAGGGUGCGUAGGCGGACCUGUAAGUCAGUGGUGAAAUCUCUUUGCUUAACAAGAAACUGCCAUUGAUACUGCAAGUCUAGAGUAUAGAUGACGUUGGCGGAAUAUGACAUGUAGUGGUGAAAUACUUAGAUAUGUCAUAGAACACCGAUUGCGAAGGCAGCUAACGAAACUAUAACUGACGCUGAGGCACGAAAGUGCGGGGAUCAAACAGGAUUAGAUACCCUGGUAGUCCGCACCGUAAACGAUGAUUACUCGUUGUUGGCAAUAUGACCGUCAGCGACCAAGCGAAAGCGAUAAGUAAUCCACCUGGGGAGUACGCCGGCAACGGUG
rnacentral:rRNA from 1 species